rnacentral:rRNA from 1 species
AGAGUUUGAUCCUGGCUCAGAAUGAACGUUGGCGGCGUGGAUUAGGCAUGCAAGUCGUACGCCCCGCAAGGGGAGUGGCGCAAGGGUGAGUAAGGCGACGGUAACCAACCCCAUGGUCGGGCAUAGCCGGGGGAAACCCCGGGUAAUUCCCGGCGACGUGGCGGGGGGGCAUCCCCCCGGCACCACAGGUGUGACUCCGCCGUGGGACGGGCCGUCGUGGUAUUAGGUUGUUGGCGGGGUAACGGCCCACCAAGCCUGCGAUGCCUACCGGGCGUGCGAGCGUGGCCCGGCACACUGGGACUGAGACACUGCCCAGACUCCUACGGGAGGCUGCAGUCGAGAAUCUUCGGCAAUGGGCGCAAGCCUGACCGAGCGACGCCGCGUGGGGGACGAAGGCCUUCGGGUUGUAAACCCCUGUCGAGGGGGAGGAAGGCGGCGCGAAGAGCGUCGCUUGACCGAUCCCUGGAGGAAGCACGGGCUAAGUUCGUGCCAGCAGCCGCGGUAAGACGAACCGUGCGAACGUUAUUCGGAAUCACUGGGCUUAAAGCGCGUGUAGGCGGGCCGGCACGUCCGACGCUGAAAUCCCCCGGCUCAACCGGGGAAGUGGCUCGGAUACGACCGGCCUGGAGGGGGGUAGGGGGGCCUGGAACUUCCGGUGGAGCGGUGAAAUGCGUUGAGAUCGGAAGGAACGCCCGUGGCGAAAGCGAGGCCCUGGACCCUUUCUGACGCUGAGACGCGAAAGCCAGGGGAGCGAACGGGAUUAGAUACCCCGGUAGUCCUGGCCGUAAACGAUGGGCACUGGGUAGGGGGCUCGCCGAUGGGCUCCCUGCCGCAGGGAAACCGUGAAGUGCCCCGCCUGGGGAGUAUGGUCGCAAGGCUGAACUCAAAUGAAUUGACGG